rnacentral:rRNA from 1 species
GUGUCAGCAGCCGCGGUAAUACGAAGGACCCGAGCGUUAUCCGGAUUUAUUGGGUUUAAAGGGUGCGUAGGCGGAUUAUUAAGUCAGUGGUGAAAGCCUGCAGCUUAACUGCAGAACUGCCAUUGAUACUGAUGAUCUUGAGUAUGAUUGAGGUGGGCGGAAUGUGUCAUGUAGCGGUGAAAUGCUUAGAUAUGACACAGAACACCGAUUGCGAAGGCAGCUCACUAAGCCAUAACUGACGCUGAUGCACGAAAGCGUGGGGAGCAAACAGGAUUAGAUACCCUGGUAGUCC